UGGAACCUCAGCAACCCGGAGCCCACAUCCUCGGAGUACGCCGCCCUGCUGAGGGACACCCAGGACCAGUAACCACACUGGAGUGGACUCCCUGUGUACCUUGCCGCCUUGGCACAGAGACUGGACAGAGUUGCCAUCUAUGAGGAAUUCCUGUGGCUGACCCAGAAUGGUACCCAGCUGCAGAACUUGACCCUGGACAGGAAGAGUGUCCUUGGGGAUGAAUAUUCUGCCAACAGAGAUGACACCUCGACUGAGAAGCCUAGUAAACCUGCAGGAAGCCCCAGCCCAUGGUAGGGGGCGAGUAUCUUGAUGCUGUGCCUCAUCGAAGAGAACCAUGCGCACAGGGUUUUGGAUGAUGAGGAAAGUUGGCCAACCCUUGUCAAGGACGGUUGAGGCACAGUGGGGUCAGCAGGAGCCCUGGGGCGAUGACAGGAGGUGGCUCACCCCAGCACUUGUCUCCCCAGACCACCCCGUCUGGGCCCUCAUCCUCAUCUGCUUGGCGGGAAUCCUGGUGCUCAUCACAGGCCUGAUCUGCUGUCUGCUGCCAAAAGAAUGCAAUGGUGUAAAGAUUCCUGUUGAUGUCAGUAAACCUAAUCCAAAUGACGUGGAGUUUGGUAAUCUGUAUUUGGAUAUGAAUGGAAUCAUCCAUCCCUGUACUCAUCCUGAAGACAAGUACGUAACCUGUUUUUGUCACUGACAUCACCAGUUACAGAGGAGUACUAUAUUAUAUUACAUUGUUUGCUUAUCAUUAUA